GAUGAACGCUGGCGGCGUGUCUAAUACAUGCAAGUCGAGCGAACGGACGAGAAGCUUGCUUCUCUGAUGUUAGCGGCGGACGGGUGAGUAACACGUGGAUAACCUACCUAUAAGACUGGGAUAACUUCGGGAAACCGGAGCUAAUACCGGAUGAUAUUUUGAACCGCAUGGUUCAAAAGUGAAAGACGGUCUUGCUGUCACUUAUAGAUGGAUCCGCGCUGCAUUAGCUAGUUGGUAAGGUAACGGCUUACCAAGGCAACGAUGCAUAGCCGACCUGAGAGGGUGAUCGGCCACACUGGAACUGAGACACGGUCCAGACUCCUACGGGAGGCAGCAGUAGGGAAUCUUCCGCAAUGGGCGAAAGCCUGACGGAGCAACGCCGCGUGAGUGAUGAAGGUCUUCGGAUCGUAAAACUCUGUUAUUAGGGAAGAACAUAUGUGUAAGUAACUGUGCACAUCUUGACGGUACCUAAUCAGAAAGCCACGGCUAACUACGUG
rnacentral:rRNA from 1 species